GUCAAGAUGGUGGAGUGGUUAACACGUUCGCCUGCUAAUCUCUGAAGGAGCUAGUCAGCGGAUGCCUUCGGGCGCGCAGGUUCGAAUCCUGUUCUUGACG